rnacentral:rRNA from 1 species
UACGGGGGGGGCAAGCGUUGUUCGGAAUUACUGGGCGUAAAGGGCUCGUAGGCGGCCAACUAAGUCGGACGUGAAAUCCCUCGGCUUAACCGGGGAACUGCGUCUGAUACUGGAUGGCUUGAGAUUGGGAGAGGGAUGCGGAAUUCCAGGUGUAGCGGUGAAAUGCGUAGAUAUCUGGAGGAACACCGGUGGCAAAGGCGGCAUCCUGGACCAAUGCUGACGCUGAGGAGCGAAAGCCAGGGGAGCAAACGGG